UUAAAGUUUGAUCCUGGCUCAGAACGAACGCUGGCGGCAGGCUUAACACAUGCAAGUCGAACGCCCCUUUCCGGGGGAGUGGCAGACGGGUGAGUAACACGUGGGAACAUACCUCUUUGUUCGGAAUAACUCGUGGAAACGUGAGCUAAUACCGGAUACGCCCUUUUGGGGAAAGAUUUAUCGCAGAGAGAUCGGCCCGCGUCUGAUUAGCUAGUUGGUGAGGUGAUGGCUCACCAAGGCGACGAUCAGUAGCUGGUCUGAGAGGAUGAUCAGCCACACUGGGACCGAGACACGGCCCAGACUCCUACGGGAGGCAGCAGUGGGGAAUAUUGGACAAUGGGGGCAACCCUGAUCCAGCCAUGCCGCGUGAGUGAUGAAGGCCUUAGGGUUGUAAAGCUCUUUUAUCCGGGAAGAUAAUGACUGUACCGGAAGAAUAAGCCCCGGCUAACUUCGUGCCAGCAGCCGCGGUAAUACGAAGGGGGCUAGCGUUGUUCGGAAUCACUGGGCGUAAAGGGCGCGUAGGCGGACGAUUAAGUCAGGGGUGAAAUCCCGGGGCUCAACCUCGGAAUUGCCCUUGAUACUGGUUGUCUUGAGAUUGGAAGAGGUAAGUGGAAUUGCGAGUGUAGAGGUGAAAUUCGUAGAUAUUCGCAAGAACACCGGUGGCGAAGGCGACUUACUGGUCCAUAUCUGACGCUGAGGCGCGAAAGCGUGGGGAGCAAACAGGAUUAGAUACCCUGGUAGUCCACGCCGUAAACGAUGGAUGCCAGCUGUUGGGGAGCAUGCUCUUCAGUGGCGCAGUCAACACAUUAAGCAUCCCGCCUGGGGAGUACGGUCGCAAGAUUAAAACUCAAAGGAAUUGACGGGGGCCCGCACAAGCGGUGGAGCAUGUGGUUUAAUUCGAAGCAACGCGCAGAACCUUACCAGCUCUUGACAUCCGCGUGCUACAUGGAGAGAUUCAUGGUUCCCUUCGGGGACGCGGAGACAGGUGCUGCAUGGCUGUCGUCAGCUGGUGUCGUGAGAUGUUGGGUUAAGUCCCGCAACGAGCGCAACCCUCGUCCAUAGUUGCCAUCAUUAAGUUGGGCACUGCAGGGAUGCUGCCGGUGAUAAGCCGGAGGAAGGUGGGGAUGACGUCAAGUCCUCAUGGCCCUUACGGGCUGGCAUACACCCGUGAUACAAUGGCGGUGACCGAGGGCAGCGAAAGGGCGACCUUCAGAUAAUCCCUAAAAACCGUGUCAGUUCAGAUGGUAGUAUGCAACUGGAGCGCAUGAAGGCGGAAUCGAUAGUAAUCGCAGAUCAGCAUGCUGCGUCGAAUACGUUCCCGGGCCUUGCACUCACCGCCCGUCA
rnacentral:rRNA from 1 species